rnacentral:rRNA from 1 species
AUUGAACGCUGGCGGCAGGCCUAACACAUGCAAGUCGAACGAGUGGCGGACGGGUGAGUAAUGCCGGGGAAACUGCCUGAUGGAGGGGGAUAACUACUGGAAACGGUAGCUAAUAACGCAUACCAUCGGAUGUGCCCUGAUGGGAUUAGCUAGUAGGUGGGGUAAAGGCUAACCUAGGCGACGCUCCCUAGCUGGUCUGAGAGGUUGAAGAGCCACACUGGAACUGGGACACGGUCCAGAGUCCUGCGGAAGGCAGCAGUGGGGAAUAUUGCACAAGGGGCGAAACUCUGAUGCAGACAUGCCGCGUGUAUGAAGAAGGCCUUCGGGUUGUAAAGUACUUUCUGCAGUAAGGCGUUACCCGAAGAAGAAGCAACGGCUAACUCCGUGCCAGCAGCCGCGGUAAUAC